GACGAACGCUGGCGGCGUGCUUAACACAUGCAAGUCGAGCGGUAAGGCCCUUUCGGGGGUACACGAGCGGCGAACGGGUGAGUAACACGUGAGCAAUCUGCCCUUCACACAGGGAUAACUUCGGGAAACCGAAGCUAAUACCUGAUACGACCACUUCAGGCAUCUGAUGGUGGUGGAAAGUUCUGGCGGUGGAGGAUGAGCUCGCGGCCUAUCAGCUUGUUGGUGGGGUAAUGGCCUACCAAGGCAACGACGGGUAGCCGGCCUGAGAGGGUGACCGGCCACACUGGGACUGAGACACGGCCCAGACUCCUACGGGUGGCAG
rnacentral:rRNA from 1 species